UCCGAGUUGACCCCGGCAGUCUCCUAUGAGUCCCCACCAUCACGCGCUGGCAACAUAGGACGAGGGUUGCGCUCGUUGCGGGACUUAACCCAACAUCUCACGACACGAGCUGACGACAACCAUGCACCACCUGUGCACGACCCUUACGGACCCCCCAUCUCUGGAAGAUUUCCGUGCAUGUCAAGCCUAGGUAAGGUUCUUCGCGUUGCAUCGAAUUAAGCAACAUGCUCCGCCGCUUGUGCGGGCCCCCGUCAAUUCCUUUGAGUUUUAGCCUUGCGGCCGUACUCCCCAGGCGGUGUGCUUAUCGCGUUAGCUAAGGCGCGCACUCAUUUAAGAGCACACACCGAGCACACAUCGUUUACAGCGUGGACUAC
rnacentral:misc_RNA from 1 species